rnacentral:rRNA from 1 species
AUUGAACGCUGGCGGCAGGCCUAACACAUGCAAGUCGAGCGGAUGAAGGGAGCUUGCUCCUGGAUUCAGCGGCGGACGGGUGAGUAAUGCCUAGGAAUCUGCCUGGUAGUGGGGGAUAACGUCCGGAAACGGGCGCUAAUACCGCAUACGGCCUGAGGGAGAAAGUGGGGGAUCUUCGGACCUCACGCUAUCAGCUGAGCCUAGGUCGGAUUAGCUAGUUGGUGGGGUAAAGGCCUACCAAGGCGACGAUCCGUAACUGGUCUGAGAGGAUGAUCAGUCACACUGGAACUGAGACACGGUCCAGACUCCUACGGGAGGCCGACGUGGGGAAUAUUGGACCAUGGGCGAAAGCCUGAUCCAGCCAUGCCGCGUGAGUGAAGAAGGUCUUCGGAUUGUAAAGCACUUUAAGUUGGGAGGAAGGGCAGUAAGUUAAUACCUUGCUGUUUUGACGUUACCAACAGAAUAAGCACCGGCUAACUUCGUG